UACGGAGGGGGCUAGCGUUGUUCGGAAUUACUGGGCGUAAAGCGCACGUAGGCGGCUUUGUAAGUUAGAGGUGAAAGCCCAGGGCUUAACCCUGGAAUUGCCUUUAAGACUGCAUCGCUAGAAUCGUGGAGAGGUGAGUGGAAUUCCGAGUGUAGAGGUGAAAUUCGUAGAUAUUCGGAAGGAACACCAGUGGCGAAGGCGACUCACUGGACACGUAUUGACGCUGAGGUGGCGAAAGCGUGGGGAGCAAACAGG
rnacentral:rRNA from 1 species